rnacentral:rRNA from 1 species
AGGAAUAUUGGUCAAUGGGCGCUAGCCUGAACCAGCCAAGUAGCGUGAAGGAUGAAGGCUCUAUGGGUCGUAAACUUCUUUUAUAUAAGAAUAAAGUGCAGUAUGUAUACUGUUUUGUAUGUAUUAUAUGAAUAAGGAUCGGCUAACUCCGUGCCAGCAGCCGCGGUAAUACGGAGGAUCCGAGCGUUAUCCGGAUUUAUUGGGUUUAAAGGGAGCGUAGGCGGGUUGUUAAGUCAGUUGUGAAAGUUUGCGGCUCAACCGUAAAAUUGCAGUUGAUACUGGCGACCUUGAGUGCAACAGAGGUAGGCGGAAUUCGUGGUGUAGCGGUGAAAUGCUUAGAUAUCACGAAGAACUCCGAUUGCGAAGGCAGCUUACUGGAUUGUAACUGACGCUGAUGCUCGAAAGUGUGGGUAUCAAACAGGAUUAGAUACCCUGGUAGUCCACACAGUAAACGAUGAAUACUCGCUGUUGGCGAUAUACAGUCAGCGGCCAAGCGAAAGCAUUAAGUAUUCCACCUGGGGAGUACGCCGGCAACGGUGAAACUCAAAGGAAUUGACGGGGGCCCGCACAAGCGGAGGAACAUGUGGUUUAAUUCGAUGAUACGCGAGGAACCUUACCCGGGCUUAAAUUGCAACUGACUGAACCGGAAACGGUUCUUUCUUCGGACAGUUGUGAAGGUGCUGCAUGGUUGUCGUCAGCUCGUGCCGUGAGGUGUCGGCUUAAGUGCCAUAACGAGCGCAACCCUUAUCGAUAGUUACUAGCAGGUCAUGCUGAGGACUCUAUUGAGACUGCCGUCGUAAGAUGUGAGGAAGGUGGGGAUGACGUCAAAUCAGCACGGCCCUUACGUCCGGGGCUACACACGUGUUACAAUGGGGGGUACAGAAGGCAGCUACACGGCGACGUGGUGCUAAUCCCGAAAGCCUCUCUCAGUUCGGAUUGGAGUCUGCAACCCGACUCCAUGAAGCUGGAUUCGCUAGUAAUCGCGCAUCAGCCACGGCGCGGUGAAUACGUUCCCG